GACGAACGCUGGCGGCGUGCCUAAUACAUGCAAGUCGAACGCACAGUCUAUACCGUAGCUUGCUACACCAUAGACGGUGAGUUGCGAACGGGUGAGUAACCCGUAGGUAACCUGCCUGGUAGCGGGGGAUAACUAGUGGAAACGAUAGCUAAUACCGCAUAAUAUUAAUUAUUGCAUGAUAAUUAAUUGAAAGGUGCAAUUGCACCACUACCAGAUGGACCUGCGGUGGAUUAGCUAGUAGGUGAGGUAACGGCUCAUCUAGGCGACGAUACAUAGCCGACCUGGGAGGGUGGUCGGCCACACUGGGACUGUGACACGGCCCAGACUGCUUCGGGAGGGAGCAGGAGGGCAACGUGGGCAAUGGACGGAAAUCUGACCGAGCAAGGCCGCGUGAGUGAAGAAGGUUGUCGGGUCGGGAAGCUCUGUUGUCAGGGAAGAAAGGGCGUGAGAGUGGAACGUUCACAGUGUGACGGUAUCUUACCAGAAAGCAACGGCUAACUACGUG
rnacentral:rRNA from 1 species